AGGGGCGUAGCUCAGUUGGUAGAGCGCUGGUCUCCAAAACCAGUGGUCGGGGGUUCAAGUCCCUCCGCCCCUG
rnacentral:tRNA from 1 species